GCGCGUGCACGCCGCAGGUGAGAAGGUGCGUUGCCGCUUUGCUGCUCCAAAAUUUGGCAAUCUUCCAAUUUCAAGCCUUAUUCCACUCCCGACUAUUCCCAAGGCCCAACACGAUCUGCUCCAUUUUCACGUCUCUCUCGGAAACCCUAACCCUAGAUUCCCCGCGACACCGCCCCCAUGGCCAGCGACGCCCAAGACUCCCGGCGGAAGCACCGUCGCUCUUCAGAUUACGAGUCGGAUGAGUCAUCGAAGCGACGCAAGCACAGACACCACCACCGUCACCACCGUCGUAGCGGUAGAAAACACGAAGAAGAUGACAAAGGCAAGCGCGACGAAGCAGAGCACGUCUCCCCUCCUCCUUCUCUUCCUCCACCACUUACAGCUCAGGCUCCUGUUGUUGUCGCUGGCCCAGGUUCUAAUUGGCGUCCUGACUACGAUAUGGAGGAAGGAGAGAUUGUCGAGGACGAGGAUGGGGGGUUUGGUGUGGGGGACGAUGAAAUGGUGAAAAAUAAAGGGGAUUCUGAUGCUGAGUCUGGCGAGAUGAAUAUUGUUGAAAUUCGUGAUGAAUCGGGUCCUCAAAAUCUGGGAGGUCAUACUGAGGGUUGUGCAUCUCAUCAUAAAGUUCAGGAGAAACUUUGCCAAAACGAGAAAAUUAGUGGAAAAAAUGGUAGAAAAUUGAAAACACUGGGAGAGGAAAGGAAGGGUGAUGAUAUGGUAACUGAUUUGAUUAUAGAUAGAAAAGACAAAAAGGAAUAUCUAAGAGGCAAGCUGGAAACUAGCAAUCAUGAAAUGCUAUCCAGUGGCAGUCCAGUUAGUCCUAUCAAUGGGGACAUUGUCCAUGAAUUUUUCAAAGAGGACAUUCGGCCGCAAGUGACACAUUCAUUAUCUAGUAGCAGAGAGGAUAAAUACAAAACUCUGAGAUACUCACCGCCUCAAGACAGAUACCAUGAAAGGGUUCAUGCUAGUGGCAGAUCAAGGUCAUGUGAUCGUGUCAGGGAGAGAUCUCGGUCCCAAAGCAUUGUACAAGAGGUUAUGGCACAUAAUCGUGAAAGGAAUGCCACAUUUUAUGCUGACAACAGCAACACUGAUCAUGAUUCAGACAAUGAAAGAAUGGUUCGACACAGCAGGAAUCAUAAACAUGGUGGUAGAGAUUUGGCAAGGGAUGAGGAAAGAGAACGCAGCACUAGCUACAGUAGACAUGAUGGGCGAGAGGACAGGCACUGCAGUUGGGAAACAUUGGACAGAGAUAGGGAUGAGAGGGAGGUGGAGAGGGCUAGGAAAAGAGACCGUGAAUGUGAUAAGAGUGGAGACUGGGAGAUAGAGAGGGAUAUUAGGAGGGAGAAGGACAGGGAACAAAGCAGGGAUAGGGAUAGGAAAAGGGAGAAGGAACGAGAUAGGGACAGGGACAGGGACAGGGACAGGGCAUUGAAGAUGGAUAAAGAAUGGGAUCGAGAGAGAGAUUGGAGCAGGGACAUGGUGAGGGAGAGAGAUAGGGUAAGGGAAAGAGAUAGAAGUUGGGAGAGAGCCAGGGAGCGGGAGAGGGAAAAGGAAAGGGUUAGGGCGAGGGAUAGGGAUCGGAAUAGGGAUAAAGGUAGGGAUACUGGGAGAGAUAGCAGAUACCAUAAAUAUGAAAUCCUUGAUGGCUAUGGUGAUCGAGAUAAAUACAGUAGCAGGUCCAGGCAUGCAAGACAUGAAGAAAUGAAUUAUUACACUGACAGGACAAAGAAAUAUGAAUCAUCAAAAAUUGAUGGGGCUAAACGUGAGCCCUACGAAGGAGGCGAAGACAAACCAAAAAGGGAUGAUGAUGAACAAGAGGACUAUGAAGAAAAGGUUGCAUUGCAACUCGCUGAACAGGAAGAGGAAGAUCUUAACCGAAUUAAGGAGGAGAGUAGAAGGCGAAGACAAGCCAUACUUGAAAAAUACAAGGCUCAGGUGUUACAGCCACAAACUGAACCACAUUCAGAGGAUGCAGGGAAAAAUAAAGAGCCCGUUGAAGAGCCAGUUCGUCAAUCUGUAGCCUCUGGUAAUAAUGUUGGUUCCAAAAUUCUUGAUGGGAGGUCUGAUGGUGCAGAUGUCUAUGUUGCCGAGCCAUCAUUUUCUGUGGGGAAAUCUCCUCUACAAAAUGGAGUUUCUUCUUUUGAGAGGACUUCUGGUGCUGGUGGGCUAGGGGAGGGUACUCCAAAGAGUGAGAGAUCAGAUGACAUGUUCUGUGAUGAUAUUUUUGGAGAAUCACCUGCUGGAGUUCGCAAAUCAGGUAAAGGAGAUGGUUUGCCAGUUGAAAGGAGUGGCCUUCAUGACAAUUGGGAUGAUGCAGAUGGAUAUUAUAGCUACCGGUUUGGAGAAAUACUUGAUGGUCGGUAUGAAGUUACUGCUGCUCAUGGGAAAGGUGUUUUUUCGACAGUUGUCCGUGCAAAAGAUCUUAAGGCUGGAAAUGGUGAUCCGGAAGAAGUGGCAAUAAAAAUUAUACGGAACAAUGACACAAUGUACAAGGCUGGUAUGCAAGAACUGGUCAUAUUAAAGAAAUUAGUUGGUGCGGAUCCAGAUGACAGGCGCCAUUGCGUUCGUUUUCUUUCACAUUUCAAGUAUCGGAAUCAUCUUUGUUUAGUUUUUGAAUCUCUUCAUAUGAAUCUACGCGAGGUCUUAAAGAAGUUUGGUCGUAACAUUGGCCUUAAGCUAACUGCUGUGAGAGCAUAUGCAAAGCAACUUUUUAUUGCACUGAAACAUCUUAGAAACUGUGGUGUUCUUCAUUGUGACAUAAAACCUGAUAAUAUGCUGGUUAAUGAAGCAAAAAAUGUGCUGAAGCUUUGUGAUUUUGGUAAUGCUAUGUUUGCUGGAAAAAAUGAAAUCACACCAUACCUUGUGAGCCGCUUUUAUCGUGCUCCUGAAAUAAUUCUUGGGUUGCCUUAUGACCAUCCACUGGAUAUUUGGUCUGUUGGUUGCUGCUUGUACGAGCUUUACACGGGCAAAGUUCUUUUCCCAGGUCCUUCAAACAAUGACAUGCUUCGUCUACACAUGGAAUUGAAGGGUCCUUUUCCAAAGAAGAUGAUCCGGAAGGCAGGAUUUACUGAACAGCAUUUUGAUCAGGAUCUUAAUUUUCUUUCUGCAGAGGAAGAUCCUGUUACGAAGAAGACUAUAAAGAGACUGGUUCUUAACAUUAAGCCAAAAGAUAUUGGAACAAUAAUUACGAGCUCUCCUGGUGAGGAUCCAAAGAUGGUAGCCAAUUUUAAAGAUCUUCUAGACAAGAUUUUUGUGUUGGAUCCGGAAAAGAGAAUGACAGUAUCACAAGCAUUGAAUCAUCCAUUCAUUACGGGCAAGUGAACAAUGAUGCUGAUUUUCUGACCCCCAGAAAUGCUGUUGCCCUAGAUAUUUGUACAUUAUGACUUUGAAUUUAUAUUGAGAUUUCUAAUCAUUGGGCGUUUAUCUGUCUUUUAUCUUCUCUGUGCUGGCCUAAGAGCUUUGGACACAGUUUUUGGCAUGGUUGAAGCCGAAGGGGAUGGUGUUUGGUCUGGACACCUACUUGGCGGUUCUGUCAGUGGAUGUGUUCUGUUUCUAUUGACAUCUACCAGGGGUAUGAGGCAAUCCUUCAGUGGUUAGAUGCUUAAAAGGCACCCAGGAGAAGGCAUUAACAUCUGGAGGUGUAUGGAUGCGGCCUAGAAGUGAAGUAUUUUGGGUGCAAUUCCUGAUGCUCCGUCUAUUAUGCCAAGCCACGACUAGUCUCUCACAGAGACUCAACAGGUCUGACUUCACCCCGAUUGAGACCACCUGCCACGCCCCACGUUGUCGCCGUUGUCCACUUCGAGGAGAACAACAUAGCACCUCACCGUCAUCGUCGCCGUAGCUUUGGCGACCCAACUCCGGAAGCAACCCUUGAUUACACGUCAAAUCUGCGUAAUUGGGCACUUUAAUCCGAGAAAUUCCUGGGAAUCAAAACCGGCACCUGUUUGUAAUUUGUACAUAACUUUUCCAUCCGAGUUCUGAUUAAGACGAUUCAAAUUUCUGGACAAAGAGGAAAGGAUUAUCUGUAACUUCCGUGUUUUGAGUUUUGGGCGAAACAGGCUUCAGGAGGGUUAAACUUGGCUGUGAACGCAGAAAACAAAAAUGAAGGAAAAAAAAGAGAAAAAAUAAAAUUAGUUUCCUUUGAUGUGACCCGACCAUGCAUGGCUGAGUCGAGUUCUCUAAAUGGGUCAAGGAUCCGGGUCCUAGGGCUUCAUACUUUUCCCCUCCUAUUUAUUUUUCUCUUCUCAGUUGGUGGUGCUCCCGCACCCAAACUCCCUUGCUCCCUCACCAUACUCUCUUUCACCCCUGUGUUUUUUUUCCCCUCUAUCUCUCUCCCUCUCUAUUGCUUUGUUUUUAUUUCUUAUCUCUCUCUUUUCCUUUUAUCCUCUCAGCUUCUCUGCUCUGUCUCCCUCUUCCCUCUGUCCCUCUCAAUUUCUUUCUUCACUCCAGCCACCAUAGCCGUCCACGACAGCUUGCAGCACCAACAGCUGCAUCACCAGUCCACAGCAGUCGAGACUCUUCUGCAGACCAGCACACGAGCAGCAGACCAGCUACUCCUCAGCCUCCGCAAUUCCACUACAACCAGGCCACCAUCUCAGACCAACCCCUCUCCCUCUCCCUCUCUCUCUCUCUCUCUCUCUCUCUCUCUCUCUCUCUCUCUCUCUACCAUCUUUUCCUUGUGUUUUUAUUUUAUUUAUUACUUACUUGAAAUCCUGCUGAAUUUGCAUUGACACUUGUUAAGACCUUGGAUUUGAAUAUUAGUUAAGAUGUUUUCUUUUAUUAUU